AAAUGACUACAUUUUUUGUGAAGCAGGAGCAUGAAAAAACAACGCUCGGAGACGGCCAGAAGAUCAGAAGGGAUCCGUCAUUUUGUAGCAACUCGGUGUCACCAGGUCGUGUAAUAAAAGAAACGACUAAAGUUGAUAUUGGACGAGGGGUACUUGUAGAAAAAACAAGUUUGCUGGCAAUUGGAAGUGCGACUUCGGCUAGCGCAUAUGCCAGAAGGUUGUUGCAGCUGGUAUUUGCUCCAAGUGAGCUAGUGGGCAAAAGCCUUACUGGGAAGAAGUCGAACGCAUUCAAGGAUGGGCAAGUAAAAGGACAGACUUGACCCAAAUUAAAAGUUGAUGCUAUAGUUGAACUCACUUGUCGAAAACAUGGGCCAUCUGUGCACGCGUCAGCAGUGAGGCAAUCGUUGGCAAACAAGCUGAAGGAAGUAACCAAAAAAAUGGAGUGCACCAAAGCAGCAAGUUCUUCCUCUCAGGAAGAAGAGAGCGACCCACUUGAUGAUCUACUGAACUAAAAAUUUACGUGUACCAUAAGCUGCUGUAUAUUCUUAUAUUGUUAUAUUAAAACUAGACUUAUAUUAUAUUCAGUACUGAUGUUGAGUAUGAUCAAGAGUAGAUAUAAUUUAUUACACAACUACACAAGAAAUGCCACUGUAUAGUGGCAUUUCUUGUGCAGUUGUGUAAUAUAUCUACUCUUGAUCAUGUAUUUAUUUUGUAUUUUGUAUUUUUAUGUGGUUCACAAAAAGUUCAAAUUUGCUUCAAGUCUAUUAUAUUUGACAUGAAUUGCUUAAGGCUUCCAUGGUAAUUUAGCUCGGAACAUUGAUAUCGUUAUAUUAAAACUAGACUUAUUAUAUUCAGUACUGAUGUUGAGUAUGAUCAAGAGUAGAUAUAUUACACAACUGCCUUUUGAGUUGUUGACAUGUAUUUUUUAGUAUUUAGUAUUUUUGUGUUUCAGAAAAAGUUCAAAUUUGCUUCUUUCAUGGUAA